CAGGACCCGUAGCCCUCUGGAAGGACACAAGUCUUUCAUUGACUGCUGACAGCCCAUCUCAUGGAGGCAGCUCUGAGACUGAUGGCACAAUGGUAUUAAAGUUUUGUUUGUGUCCAUGGAUGCUUAAGCAAGAGAGCACAACUAAAAACCCCUCUGCAAUAUCUGAGAAUUGUGAAGCAGACAGGAAAUCACUGACAUUCAUCAACAGUCAAGAGCAAUGCAAGAUGUGAGAGCAGAGACAGCCGGGAAAAAAGAGAAAACACAAGGCCUCCCUUUAUGAAGUCUCCAGCUUAAAUGUCACGGCCUCCCACGGUCAAGCCAGCGCUUUAUGAGAGAGGGCGAACGUGGCGGGGCGGGGCAACGCGGCGGUACGCUCCCAGCAGCCGCAGGGCCCAGCGCAGAGCGCGGCGGCAGCGAGCUCACGCCCCAGACCUCGCCGAGGUCGAGCGGUAACACCGACUCUAAGGCCCACACCCAAGGCAAGCACCGCAUCACCAGAAGGAGCAGACCGCUGGUGGAACUGAACCGUGUUCCCCUGCUAAAGGUGGAGCACCCCGGGCACAGCAGUUACGGAGUUUUCUGAUUGUAGGUUCUAUUCCCAGGUUGCGGAACUGCCAUUGUACCCCUGUGGAAAAUGCUCCACCUGAAUGGCUUCAGUAAAAAUAGGUAGCUGUAUGGAUAGUAUAAAUAUUACAGUAUAUAAGCUGUAUA